rnacentral:tRNA from 2 species
GUUUUAAUAGUUUAAUUAAAAAUAAUGAUCUUGUAAAUCAUAGUUAGGAAUAUCCUUUAAAACU